UCUUAUUCCUUUUCUCUGUUCUUGAGAGUUUAUUAAUUUUCUGAAUUUUUUUUUUGCAGAAAAGAAGAAUGGUUGCAAUAUUUUGACCACGUUUAAGCAAAACGAGAGACUUGAAUCAGUUUCAGUUACAUCUCAUCAUUACAGGUUUGAUUUCUUGGUCCUUUACAUGAAUAAUACUUUGUUUAACACUCUUAGGACGAUUAUUAUUUGCACAGUUCAUCAAAACAGGUUUUGGUUACAAUAAACUUUUCUCUAGAACAAUUGGAACAUGUUUUGGAUACAAGAUCAAAUAUGGUGGAGUUUUAUAUUGGACAAAAACAGAAGAGGGCAACAACUGCUGCAAAAACCGGUUGCAAGAUGAUCAGAUCUUUUUGAGGUAAUUUGUUCAUUUGGAUUUUGGUGCAAUUCUGAAAUUAUACCUUUUGCUUGAUGACUUUGGAGAAUUUACGUAAGCACAGAUUCCCUAUACAUCAAUAUAUGGUUUUGGGUUUGUUGCAGUUACUGUGUGUGUUUGUUGCUUGAAACUGCAACUUAUGGCAUUGAUUCUCUCCCAGGCUAGGCAAGCUCUUCUCACUCAAAGAAUUGCUUCAGCACUUCAAGCAGCCAUGAUGUUAAGACCACGUUUUGUAAGACAUUUGGUAUGAUGUUUAAGACUUGAUGUUUUGUAAGACUUGUUUUUAAUAUGAUGUUUGUCCUUGUGAUGUUUUGUGUAAGACAUGUUUGGAUGUUUAAUAAAAAUAAGAGUGUUUUAAAUGCAAACG
rnacentral:lncRNA from 1 species